GACCCCGGGAGACUCCACGGGAGGAGGCUGCGGAGGAGAUCUGGAGGCAGAGACCGCCGGAGCAGCCCGGAGACCAUCGGCAAGGAUAACAGACUGGAACACCCAUGACACUGCCCUGAAAUUGCUGUCAGAUUUCAGAGGAGGAAGCACCUACUUUUGCUGGAGAGGAAAGUGAGGCCUGCAUGGAAGAAAUGGUGUGGGACUCGAGAAUUGAAAAAUGGAUACAAGAUUAGCAAGCAGAAAAUAUGAAAAGGCACAUUUUGAGUAAAAGAAAUAAAAUGUGUGAAAUAUAAAAAAGGGAGAAGACAAGGAAAAGAUUGGGCAUGUAUUCAUAAAAACACGUUCUCUGAAAGCAACAUGCAGUCAGGGAGUCUGACAUGCGAGGUGCCCAGGGCACAGGGAGAGUGCUGGGAGCAGGGCUGGGGUCAGAGGAAGGACAGACCACACCUCCCUGUGGAGGUGUCGUCACAGUGCAGUAAAGACCGGGAUUUAUUCCCAUAGAAAAUGAAGAGUUACUGGUAAUAGAAGAGCAACUGUUCUUUUCCAGUGUCAUGUGGAAUAGCCUUGCAGUAGGGAGAAGGGCAGGGUUAAUGUUGUAAAAAUAGGAGAAAAAGAGUCAACCCAAGACGCUAUUGAAAAUUAUCCGAGAAUCAGGUACACCUCAUAUAACGUUACUUUGCGUUUGGAAAUAAAGAAUAUGAGUGUAUGUAAAAAAAAAAGAAAAGAAAAAGAAAAAGAAAGUGGGCAGAGUGAUCCCAGAGGGCUCCUUUGUGGACUUUGGCAGAGUAGAGAGGGAGAGAGAAGAGAACCAUGUUCCCCAUGACAGGCCUUCCAUGAUCUCCCUGCUGGAGACAAGAGGAGAGUCCCGAGGAGGGGGAUUGGAGGGCACAGUGAGCUCCCUCGCUUGUGAGCCCAAGCAGAAGUUGGUGCUUCAGUUACCUAAAUUCAGGAAUACAAUUUUUCAGAUCCUCUGGGCCCUGAAACUGCAUGGUCUCAGAACUCCCUGUGUUCCUUUCUGCCCACACAGACAUGUGUUUGUUCCUUGUCCUCAUUCUGCUCCCUCCCUGCCCCUGCCCGGGGCCAUGGGAGAGUCUUUCAAAGCCACUGUGGCUGUACUUCCCCUCUUUGGGUACAGGACUUGCUCCAGGCUUCGUUUCCCAUCCUCUGUCUGCUUCAACCCUUCUCUUCUCUGGGACUUCCCAGCCUCAACCCUGUUGACAUUGCUCCUAGAUUCUUCUUCCUCCUGGCUUUCAUUUAACUUAUCCUCAGUGCAGCAUCUUUGGAUCAUCCUCUUUAGCUCCAGGCUCAACAGCCAAGGGCAACUGAAGUCCUGCUCUUGGGGCCAACCCAACGCCCAGAUGUAGGUCAGGCCGAGAGCCCAGGCUUUGGAGAAGGGGGAGGCUAUUCUGAUAAUAUCUGAGUCCUGUUUCUGUAGCAGCCAGUGUUAAUGCCUCCACCCCAGACCCCUCCAUUUCCCUUGGAGCCUAAAUUUCAGUAUCUGCAUCUCUGUACCUGAGGACUUUGCCCCUCCUUUGCUCCAGAAGUGCCACAGCCACCAGAGCGGUUCUCAACAAAGACUGAUGAGAGAGGAAGUAACCCAGCUCCUAACCCACACAAAGAGGAGGUCACGUCAGGACACAGCCAGAUGGCCGCUGCCCACAAGCCAAAAGAAGAGGACCCAGGUUGAAACCUACCUUCCCAACACCUUGAUCUCAGACUUCUCAGCCUCCAAACUGUGAGAAAUAAAUUUCUGUCAUUUAA